rnacentral:misc_RNA from 1 species
UGAACUCUGUUCUCUCUGUCCGCUUUUGUUUUUCCUUAUCGCUCGGCUCGCGCUUCGGCCAAUCUCUCUCGCGUGUACACAUGCACUUGGUCGUAUAGAAAAGCACAUGCUCUCGCGGAUCGCGCGGUAGCAGCAGCAGCGGCAGCAUAGGAGUAUAAGAGAGCUUUCGCGCACACACGUGCUCCGAACAAAAGCUUGCAAGUAAAAUAAAGUGAUACCGUUACUGUGCAUGGAUUGAUUUUACGUCGAAGAAAAAAAUUGAAUUAUAAUAAAGUACGAAUUGCGAAACACGAGCACGAGAUGAGGCUUUGAAUUUUGGCGCGAGACCGUCGCGCGCGCAGAUUCGAAAAUUUUUCGGUGCGGGCGGACGCGCGGAACUUGGCACACGCACACGAGGUGCUUUGCAAUUUUUUUUUUUUCAUUUUCGAAUGACUUGCGCGCAUCGACGAUGACACUCAAAAAUCACGAAGAUCUCGCGGUCAACGAUCGUCCACCAUGCACCCACAACGACGAGCUUAAUUCGUUGGGCUGACCAGUAAUUAUAUAAACAUAGAUACAUACGAGCAGUGAAAAAUCGAAUCGUUCUUGGUGUAUACAAAAGUGAAAGAAAUAACAGCAGCAGCAGCAAAGAGUUUGACUCGAGUUGAAAGAAAAGAAGAAAAAGAAGAAAAAAGUUUUUUUUGUGUGCUCUUGGUCGCACGGGCCGAGAGAGGAGAAGAAGAAGAUACACACAGCAAGUGAGGGAGAGAGUUAUACCUGCCAGAGGCCUAGACUGCACGCACAGGUAUAACACCAGAAAGUGGAAAGAAGACGACCGGAAACUGCUGAACAGGACAGGUCCUUCCUCUGGAGGCACUCAGAAGGCACUCAAGAUCCAUUGCUGCGAGAAGAUGCCGGCAAAACAAGUUACGAGGUCAACAAGAUCAUGACACCGACAUACCGGAGAUCGGUGAGUACAGAGAGCGCGGGCGAAGAUGAGGAUCAGUUUGCCAGGGGUACAAACUCCCCUGGUGGCGGUGGAAGCGGCGACGAGAGCAACCCCGAUGGUACGGCGUCGCAAGGCCAGCAGCAAUUGCAGUCCAUUGUUGCUCCACAAACCCAGCAACAACAACAACAACAACAACAGCAACAGCAGCAACCACAACAGCAGCAGCAACAGCUGCAGUUGUCACAACAGGCGCCCACGCAGCAGCAAACUGCACUUCUGAGAAUGGCAGGCGCGAAGAGGGCGCGGGGCUUUCUGUCCGGCACGGGCCGGCCGCCCUUGCCCCACGUUAAUUUUGACCCGGAAGCGCCACCCCCGCCGACCCAAAUGGGAUUGCCGACGCCGCAGAUGACUCUGCUCGAGAAGCCGGAGAUCGACAAAAAAGUCAAGAGACACAGUAUCCACGGCAUGAUGGAGGACGAGAACGUAAUAAGGCCGCACCAGGAGAUGGCCAGCCUCUCGCUGGACGACAAAAAGUUCCUGCUGGCCGUGGAGCGCGGUGACGUUGCCGGCGUCAGAAAAAUGUUGGAGCUGGAGAACCACAAGAAGAUAAACAUAAAUUGCGUCGACCCGCUGGGCAGGUCGGCCCUCCUCAUGGCGAUCGACAACGAAAAUCUCGAAAUGGUCGGACUGCUGAUAGACUUUAAAGUCGACACGAAGGACGCUCUAUUGCACGCCAUAUCCGAGGAAUUCGUCGAGGCCGUGGAGCUUUUGCUCGAUCACGAGGAAAGUAUGCAUCGAGCCGGCGAGCCACACAGUUGGGAGGCUCUACCACCUGAUACAGCAACAUUCACGCCUGACAUCACACCGCUCAUACUCGCGGCGCAUCGGGACAACUACGAAAUCAUCAAAAUCUUGCUGGAUCGAGGUUCCACGCUGCCGAUGCCUCACGACGUCCGUUGCGGGUGCGACGAGUGCGUGACGUCGCGCCAAGAGGAUUCGCUGCGACACUCGAGAAGCCGCAUCAACGCUUACCGUGCCCUGGCGUCGCCCUCCCUCAUAGCUCUCUCUUCCAAGGAUCCUAUUCUUACGGCUUUCGAGCUGUCUUGGGAGCUGCGAAGGCUCUCCUUUCUCGAGCACGAGUUCAAGUGCGAGUAUCAAGAACUCAGGCGUCAGUGUCAAGACUUCGCCACGGCGUUACUUGAUCACACGAGAAGUUCGUACGAACUCGAGGUGCUUCUAAAUCACGAUCCAACGGGACCAGCGUUCGAGCACGGCGAGCGCAUGCAUCUCAAUCGCCUCAAGCUCGCAGUGAAAUUGCGCCAGAAAAAGUUCGUAGCGCAUCCUAACGUGCAGCAACUGCUCGCGUCCAUCUGGUACGAGGGCUUGCCUGGCUUCAGGCGCAAAAACAUGGUGCUGCAGGCAUUGGAAAUCGUGCGUAUCGGCAUACUCUUUCCAUUCUUCAGCAUCGGUUACAUCAUCGCGCCUCACACGGUCGUCGGUCAGACCAUGAGGAAGCCCUUCAUCAAAUUCAUAUGCCAUUCCGCGUCGUAUUUUACGUUCCUUUUUAUGUUGAUAUUAGCGAGUCAAAGGAUAGAGAGUGUCAUAGGCGUUUGGACGGGGCACGAUGUGGAACACGACCCCCAUAACGAGCCAACGAAACGCGGCGCUGCACCCACCAUCGUCGAGUGGGUAAUCUUGUCUUGGGUCUCGGGCUUGAUAUGGUCGGAAGUGAAGCAAUUAUGGGACGUCGGUCUCGAGGAGUACGUCAACGACAUGUGGAACGUAAUUGAUUUCGUCACGAAUUCGCUGUACGUGGCGACUGUGGCAUUACGUAUCGUGGCCUACUACAGAGUGCAGAGGGAGAACGAGGGAAUAGAGCCGCACAUGAUCGUCGAGCUGCAACGCGAGCAGUGGGACACUUGGGAUCCGAUGCUCAUUUCCGAGGGCUUAUUUUCAGCCGCAAAUAUUUUCAGUUCCUUAAAAUUAGUCUACAUAUUCUCGGUGAAUCCACAUCUUGGACCUCUGCAAGUCUCGCUCUCUCGAAUGGUUAUGGACAUCAUGAAGUUUUUCUUCUUAUUCGUCCUCGUGCUCUUCGCUUUUUCAUGCGGUUUGAAUCAACUUCUGUGGUACUACGCCGACAUGGAAAAGAAAAGGUGCCCGACAGCCAUGCCUCAUUUGCCUCAAAAUAAUACGAACCUCGAUCCAAACGCCUGCAUUGUUUGGAGAAGAUUCGCAAAUCUUUUCGAAACGACUCAAACGUUAUUCUGGGCCGUCUUUGGUCUGGUAGAUCUUGAAAGUUUCGAGCUCGAUGGAAUAAAAAUAUUCACAAGAUUUUGGGGUAUGCUGAUGUUCGGCACGUAUUCCGUUAUUAACAUCGUUGUGCUACUGAAUCUACUGAUCGCCAUGAUGAAUCAUUCCUAUCAAUUAAUAUCGGAACGCGCCGACGUAGAGUGGAAAUUCGCUCGGAGCAAGCUGUGGAUAAGCUACUUCGAGGAAGGUGGCACGGUGCCGCCGCCCUUCAACAUUAUACCCACGCCCAAAAGCUUCUGGUACAUUGUAAAGUGGAUUUACAGAAAGCUCUGCGGUCACAGUCGCGCCGCCAAGAAAGAGCACAUGAGGACCAUACGGCGCAAGGUGAAACAGGCCUCGGAGCGCGAUUUUCGUUAUCAGGGCAUAAUGCGUAAUCUCGUGCGCCGCUACGUGACCGUGGAGCAGCGCAAGACGGAGAACGAGGGUGUGACGGAGGACGACGUGAACGAGAUCAAGCAGGACAUAAGCGCUUUCCGCUGCGAGCUCAUUAAUAUACUGCAAAAGUCGGGGAUGGCGACGGAGCACACAUCUGGCCAGGGUACCGACGGUAGCGUGAAAGAGUUAUCCGUACUAGGUGUCGGUGGCAAGAAGAAUCGGCAGAAGGAGCGCCGCCUCAUGAAGGGCUUCAACAUAGCACCGCCGCCGGGCAGCAGCGGGACCCUGGCGCCGGUGGCUGAGUCCGGCCACGACGGACUUCCGAGCCUCGACGAUUCGCAUCAUCAUCAUCCGGCUGCGGGUACCGGAGGACACCAUCACGAGAUCUUCGGCAGUACGCUAAGCGGCUUAUUCGGGCCUGGCACGACGCCCAAAAAGAAUCCGCACCACAUGAGCACGAACAGCGUGCCGGGACUGGGCUCCUCGCAGCGACAGUCGAGGGACACGCGAGGCGGCAGUUCGCGCAAGAGAAAAUGGGGCACCCUCAUCGAAGCUGCCAAAGUUGGCCGAGUUUCCAAGCUUAUAGCAGGUCGCUCACGUUCCGAAGAUUCGGUCUACUCGCAAGCCUCCGACGACGCUGCUUCCCACUCGGACUGCUCUACAGAUUCGAAAACUUCCGGGGACGUCCCGUCUCAGGAUCCACAAGGUCAUCACCAUUCUUCCCAUCAUCAUCACGGUGGUCAUUCCUCGCAUCACCAUCAUCAUCACCAUCACCACCAUCACCACUCGCAAAGUCAGCAGCAACAGCAGCAGCAACAAAUACCACCGAUUCCACCGACUCCACCCGCGAAUCACGAGAGCCAGGCCCAUUCCAGCCCGUUCGCGUUAGGGCUAGCGGCGCUGCGCCGCAAGCGCAAAAGGUACCAGACCCGAGGCUCGACGCCGGCCAUGACCACGAGCACCACCGGCACCGGCAGCGGCGCCUCGGCUUCAGCUUCCUCGCCCAUGGAUAGCGCGCUAAAUCCCAUCGCCUCGGCGCUGCAGCGCGUGACCAAGAAGCAGCUGCAGCGGGCGAGCAGCGUGCCGACGCGCGGCCCCGAUUUGGCUCUGCACCAGCCGGUGCAGCCGAGGCGACACGAGACGACGCAGAGCCAGCAGCCGAGUCUCGAAGAGGGGUCUAGCAACGGUGGUUCCAAAGACCAAGGUUAGAGAUUCAUCGUCAUUUUGGUCUUUAUCUCGGCUAUAUAAUAUACAUAUAGUAUUUCUGUAAUAAGAUUUUUGAUCGUCGUUUGAUUUUCCAAGCUGAAUAUAGUGAUAUUAUGCGCCACGAAAAGUAUAUUAUGAUAUAUAAGUCUUGUAAAAAUUGUGUAUAAAGAAGACACUCACAAAAAGAAAAAAAGUAUUUUAAUAUAUCGACUCGAGUGUCGUUCGAAUGAUCCAAGGUGCAUCUACUUCCGAUAAGCGCGCUGUAUAACUAGCCAGAGGCUUAAAUAGUUGCUUUGCUGGCUAUACUAUGUUAUGGUAAUAUUUCAUACAUAUGCUGUGUACCUACAAAAUGGAUUUAGUCACUUAAGCUCAUCGGAAUUGAGAGAUCUCAUCGCGUCAAAUCUUGCUUUAUAAUCUCUGCGGCUUUUGCGCACAUCUCUCUGUCUUCUGCGCGUGUAUGUAAUUACACAUCAUUUAUUUUAUCUGAAGAAUUCCGAUGAAAAAAACUUUCCCAAUUCAAAAGACGACGAAUGUUGCAUUGUAUGAUGGUGUAACAUAGAUGCAUUUCCAAUUAUCUUUUUAUUUUAAUUUUUCGAGAGAAAAAAAAUUCAAGUUCGACUACCAUCGAAGGCAGUAAAAAAAGUAUAUGUAACAUCGAGGUUUAUGGAGAUUAUAAGAGACUAUUGAGACAUUUUCCGGCCAGAAUUUUUAACUUUUCUGCAUGAAGAGGAGUUUGGAAAGACAGGACUGCUUCUGCAAUAGUGGCGUGUCCUCGUCGUCGACGGCUGCAGCUAUGACCAAUUCGACGGUUGAUUUAACACCGUCGACCACCGAGGAGAG